AUUGAACGCUGGCGGCAGGCCUAACACAUGCAAGUCGAACGGUAACAGGAAACAGCUUGCUGUUUCGCUGACGAGUGGCGGACGGGUGAGUAAUGUCUGGGAAACUGCCUGAUGGAGGGGGAUAACUACUGGAAACGGUAGCUAAUACCGCAUAACGCCGCAAGACCAAAGAGGGGGACCCUCGGGCCUCUUGCCAUCGGAUGUGCCCAGAUGGGAUUAGCUUGUUGGUGGGGUAACGGCUCACCAAGGCGACGAUCCCUAGCUGGUCUGAGAGGAUGACCAGCCACACUGGAACUGAGACACGGUCCAGACUCCUACGGGAGGCAGCAGUGGGGAAUAUUGCACAAUGGGCGCAAGCCUGAUGCAGCCAUGCCGCGUGUAUGAAGAAGGCCUUCGGGUUGUAAAGUACUUUCAGCGGGGAGGAAGGGAGUAAAGUUAAUACCUUUGCUCAUUGACGUUACCCGCAGAAGAAGCACCGGCUAACUCCGUG
rnacentral:rRNA from 1 species